AGUGCGAGCCCUGUGAAAACGAGAACCUCAUCUGUCUCCUUCACCACUGGAACUCCAGCAUCCAGAAUAGUCCCUGGACCUGAUGAGCUGUGUGUCUGUGAUCUGUUGAUGAGGGUGGCGAAGGACUACUCAAUCAACUGGGGUGUACAAAAUGGAGUUUGAGAAGGGCAUGCUGAUGCAAGAGGUGGGCUCCAUGGCCUUGGGCAGAUCUGCUCCUGUGGAUUUUCCUGGUACAGCCCUUCUUCCUGCUGCUUUCAUAGCUGGUGAUGAGUAUCUGUGGCUUUUCCAGGUCUCACAUCUAAGUCGUUUUGAAGCAAAGUCCAAGCAUUGUAUCAUUUCCUCUGCAAAUAUUUUAAUAAGUACCCAAAAGGCCCUUUGUGAUGCAUAUGGAGAUUGGAUGCCCAGAUCCUCUUCAACUAAGGUUUGUUGCCCAGCCAGUGAAAGAGCUGUUCACAGGGGUUUUCUCAGCUAUAUGAGCCACCUUGCUUGA
rnacentral:lncRNA from 1 species